rnacentral:misc_RNA from 1 species
UUAACUAUUAUAUAGUACUCAGACAUCACUAAAAACAGAGUUUGUUUCCUCUGGCAGGCACGCAUCAGCCGGAGCCUCUGGUGUUUCCACGGCCUGCCAAAGCAACGAAGGUAUAAUAUUCAAGGGUGGGAGAUCUACCCGUGAGGGCAUGAACUCUGUAAUGAUCCUUCCGCAGGUUCACCUACGGAAA